GAGGAUAUAGCUCAAUGGUAGAGCACAUGCUUAGCAUGCACAAGGUCCUGGGUUCAAUCACCAGUACCUCCA
rnacentral:tRNA from 1 species